CAGUCGCCACGGUAAUACAGAAGGUGCGAGCGUUAAUCGGAUUUACUGGGCGUAAAGCGUGCGUAGGCGGCUUCUUAAGUCGGAUGUGAAAUCCCUGAGCUUAACUUAGGAAUUGCAUUCGAUACUGGGAAGCUAGAGUAUGGGAGAGGAUGGUAGAAUUCCAGGUGUAGCGGUGAAAUGCGUAGAGAUCUGGAGGAAUACCGAUGGCGAAGGCAGCCAUCUGGCCUAAUACUGACGCUGAGGUACGAAAGCAUGGGGAGCAAACAGGAUUAGAUACCCCUGUAGUCCCUGUCUCUUAUAC
rnacentral:rRNA from 1 species